CAGCGAGGCGGCUUCCGGCGGGGUGACCUGGGUGCGCUGGCCUCGCCGGCACCGGGAGCCGGAAGGGUAUUCGCUGGCGGCAGGGACUAUAUUCAGGACCUUGCAAGCACUGCCAAUAUGUCUGAUGUUCAAGAAGCCACUAACCAGCUCCUGGAUGUGAACCUUCAUGAGAACCAGAGGUCUAUACAAGUGACAGAAAGUGGCAUCAGAAGUGAGUCUGAACAUCUCCAAGUCACUAUUGGAGCCACUGUGCCUACUGGUUUUGAGCAAACAGCUGCAGAUGAAGUGAGAGAGAAAUUGGGGUCAUCGUGCAAAAUCAGCAAAGACCGGGGCAAGAUAUAUUUUGACAUUUCAGUGGAAAGUCUGGCUCAGGUUCACUGUCUGAGAUCAGUUGAUAACUUAUUUGUGGUUGUUCAGGAGUUUAAGGAUUACCAAUUCAAAGAAAAAAAGGAAGAAGUUCUAAAGGAUUUUGAGGACUUGGCUGGGAAGCUUCCAUGGUCAGACCCUUUAAAAAUAUGGAAAAUUAACACAUGUUUCAAGAAAAAAAAAACAAAGCACAAAAAGAUAAAUCAGAAUUCACGUAAAGAGAAGACUGAAGGUGGACAAGGAGACAAAACAGAUGAGAGAGAUGUCAAAGAAGAGUUCACUAACAAUGUCUUAGAUUCACAGGUCUUAGACUAUUAUGAAAAUCCAGCCAUCAAAGAAGAGAUAUCAACAUUAGUAGGUGAUGAUUUGACAUCUUGCAAAGAUGAGACUGAGGAAAGCUCAAAAGAAGAAACUGAUCCUGAAGUGCUGAAGUUUAGAGUCACAUGCAACAGGGCAGGAGAGCAACAUUGCUUUUCCUCAAAUGAGGCGGCAAGAGAUUUUGGGGGUGCUGUUCAAGAUUAUUUUAAAUGGAAGGCUGACAUGACCAACUUUGAUGUGGAGGUUCUUUUGAAUAUCCAUGAUAAUGAAAUUGUUGUGGGCAUUGCAUUGACAGAAGAGAGUCUCCACCGAAGAAAUAUCACACAUUUUGGACCCACAACUCUUAGAUCUACUCUUGCCUAUGGGAUGCUCAGGCUCUGUGCUCCUCAGCCUACUGAUAUAAUAGUUGAUCCGAUGUGUGGAACAGGGGCAAUAUCAAUUGAGGGGGCUACAGAAUGGUCUAACUGUUAUCACAUUGCUGGUGAUAAUAAUCCGUCGGCUGUGAAUAGAGCAGCAAAUAACAUCUCAUCUUUAUUGACCAAGAGCCAAGUGAAAGAAGGCAAACUGUCCUGGGGCUUGCCCAUAGAUACUAUCCAGUGGGAUAUCUGCAACUUGCCACUAAGAACUGGCUCUGUGGACAUUAUUGUAACAGACAUGCCAUUUGGAAAAAGGAUGGGCUCCAAGAAGAGAAACUGGAACCUUUAUCCAGCUUGCCUACGGGAGAUGAGCCGUGUCUGUAGGCCAGGGACAGGCCAAGCUGUACUACUGACCCAGGACAAGAAAUGCUUUAUCAAGGCAUUAUCUGGAAUGGGACACCUAUGGCGAAAGGUACAUACCGUCUGGGUCAACAUAGGAGGUCUUCAUGCUGCAGUUUAUCUUCUGAAACGUACACCUCAAACUUUUGUUCAUCCUUCAGAACAAGAUGGAGAAAGAUCUCCUUGGUAAUGCAAAGACUGAAGAUGAUUAGUAGUGCUGCCAGUGCUUCCUGACAGUGGAAAUGUCAGCAUGAGGAACUUGCUUUGAGAGAAAAAUAGUAUUAAUAGAAGUGAAGUUUGGUGUAAAUCUCUUCACCCUAGAUAGCAAAAGGUGUGAAGAGAAUGGAACAAGCCUUAAGAGAAAGCAGAGCUUUUCUUUGGAGCUGUUGUAGUUGGGCAAUUAGUACUUUUCUUAAAAUGCUUUAAAGAUGCUGAGCCUACUAAAGUACUCUGGGAUUUGGGUUUAGAACAUUUUAUUUUCAGGCUUUAUAGCAGUUCCUGUUUUCCACUGUAGCAGGUGGAAAGCUACCCUGGCCUAAGGGAAAGGCAGAGAGCAUAAUCAGAUCAUGAGGUUACAUUUCAUUGCCUCUGCAGCUUUGUUAUUUAGUUGCUCAGAUUCUUCUCCUCAACUUUAAAAAAUGAAGCAUUAUUACACUUUGUAAAAUAGUGUUUGCCCCAUGACAAGAUGAAAUCUCACAAGACCUACAGAAAAGUUUACUAUCUGCUUUAAAAAUUACAGUAUGCAUCUGUUAUUCAGAUUAAUAGAACUAAAUAGACAUUUCUAUUUGUAAACAGCAGUUAUUACACUGGUAGAUGAAGUAUGGGACCAACAAGCCAUAUUUAAAGAAAUUUUUCUUUCAGUACACAAAGGUGGUGAUGCUUUUCAAAGUCAAACAUAAACCUGUCCAAGUAUUUUUGUUGGCUUCUCUAAAGGACUAGAGAACAAACUGAUAUAUCUUUGAAUUAAAAACUUUGUGUAAGUUCUUUUAUUUUCUCUCAGUCACUAUUCACAUUUAAUUGCUUUUGCAGUAGCAGAAAGUCCUUCCCAAGACAGUGGAAAAUGAAAUAACCUAAACAUCAUCAAGUCCUUGUAAAAACAGUGCUUCUGUGCGACAGAGUUGGGGUUUUAUGUGGCAUUCUGUAUUCAGUUUACUUUGGAGUUUCUGGCUGCAUUCAGCUUAGAUUUUCAGUGUCAUGUCGGUAACAUACUAACUUUUGAUGUCUCAUUUAGAAUAAAAGGACACAGUACUUCUUUCCUUUGAAAGAAUAGAGUUCACAUUAGCAGCAGAGCCAACAGUCCUUGUGUGGUUUCUCUCUGAUGUACCUCACACUUGAGAAUGAAUUGGAAGUAAGACAUUUAUAAGGGUCAUAUAUCCUAGACUGGAGUUUUUAAGGUCAUCAGAAUGCAGUUUCACUAUUAUGGGUUCAACAUAGAACAGACAGCGUUUUCACCUCUCACAAAAGAAACCAUUUAAACCUCUAAGUGUUGGUCAGCAGUCCACAGGACUGGAAAAGAACAAGGACCAUGUUUUCUCUACCGUUCAUCAACUGCCUGACACAUUACCUACCAGCAUGGACGUUUAAUAUCUGUUGAACAAAUGGAUAUUUUUGCAUAUUGGCUGUUUGUAAGUAAGUGUAUCAAAUUUGUGCUCGAUAUAUCAUAGCUUUAGUCCUGUUAAAUACCAUCAUAAAAACAUGAACAGAUGUGAUUUAAGAUGAUGUAAGUACGUAGUGAACAUUGUAAUAGUUUGCCAUCUUCCUCUCUAGUAUUGUUUUGUAAUCUGGUGACAGGAACAGGAAAUGCACUACAUGAGGAUUCAGAAAAGCUGAGAUUGAAUUAUAUAUGACACUGCCACCUACUCCUUCUGUGACCUUGGUUUUUAACUUUUGAAACGGACCUCCUGCACCAUGGGGAUGUAAAAAGAUGGGUGCAAAGAAAACUACAAGAUUUUAUAACUGCAUAAUACUGAGGUUUGCUAGGAUUUUGGAGGUAUAACCUGAAGAAUAAAUUAAUUUCUAAAGACAGAUAUUCAUACCCUAAACCUACCACCUAAGGAAAUUAUGAAAAAUUCAAGAAUAUACAGCACCAUUCAAUUAACAUCAGUGAUGAUGUCAUCCAACACAUAUCAUGUGGCCUCUACGUACUUGUGAAAAUGAGCUGAAAAGGUAAGUUACGUCUUAGUACAGUAAGCCCCCUACAUAACGAACGAGUUCAGUUCCAAGAGGGCAUUGGUAAGUGCAAUUUGUUCAUAAGUCCAACAAAGUUAGCCUAGGUACCCAAUCGGCUAUAUAGUACUGUACUAAUAAUAGGUUUAUAUAAAAAAACAAAAAAUAAAACAUUUUUAAUCUUACAGUACAGUAUCUUAAAAAGUACAGUAGUACAGUACAACAGCUGGCAUACAAGGGCUGGCAUCGAGUGAACAGGCAAGAGUUACUGACUGGAGGAGGGGGAGGAGGUGGGAGACGGGAGAGCUCAAGGAUCGUCAGCAACAGGAGACGGAGGGCGAGCUGCAGUUUCACUCACACCUGACAUUGAUGGCACAGGUUCUGGUUCCUUGCUGGAUUCAAUUCUAUCUACCCUCUUGAAAAAACAAUACAGUGAUGUCUGGGUAGUAGCUCUUUUUUUCUCGUCGUAGAUGACACGGUAGCACUGGAUUGCAUCCUGAACGGCUGCUGCAACCUUCAUGUACUGUCCUACAUUCAGAUCCUGUGCCUCAAAAACUAACAAUGCCUCCUUGAAUAAAGAAAAUCCCCUUGCCAUUUCCUGUGUCGCAAAUCUCUUCGGUUACUACUUCUUCCUCUUGUCCCUCUUCGUCCUUUCUCUGGGCCUCCAAUUCCAUUGGUCUUCAUUAGUAAGCUCCUCGUGUCGCACAGCAAGGAGUUCAAUGAAGUCGUCCUCUUGCAGAUCUAGCUCCAGCUUCUCUCUGAGGGUCACUAAGUUGCUAAAAACCCUCUUUGGACUCCUUAUCCCGGGCAGCUACCAUAUCUGCACUCGCUGCCUUGCCACUUACUUUUACAUUGUGAUGGUUGGCUC